AGACCCCUGAAAAUGCUCUGAAAAAUCCAGUUUCCUAUCCAUCAUCUUUAAAAGAUCAAUUUUAAAUGAGAUUUCAGAUUUUGAAUCCCUCUUUAUGAAAAUAAUGAGUCUCCUUCUUGUUGAGAAAUGGCCUUGCAUUAGAUCCUCAUUGGUUUUUGAGAUUAUAUUUGGAUUUCUGGUUUUAUCAAGUGUGCAGUCUUUUAGUGUCAAUUGCUGGAUUGUUUGAGUUGUCCCUUAGCCAUUUUUCCUUUUGUUUUGCUGCUGUUACUCGUUGAUUUCAGAGACACCUUUCUCACUCUGUUCAUUUGUUGUAUCCAGGUAUAAGGCCGAACACCUGCUUUACUUAUGGAUUAUACACAUGAAAGUUUGGAAGCCAUCUGCUGUUAUUUGGGUUGAAAUGCAGCCAUGAGUUUUUUUUUCUUUUUGUCUCUGAUGUUAAUGUUCGUUGAUGCUAUGUAUUGUAUAUGGUUAUUAUCUUAGCAAGUUUGAAAUCUGGAAGUUAAGUGUAUAUAUUCAUCAUUCUAGC
rnacentral:lncRNA from 1 species